UGUUUGUCGAGCAUUCUAGGAAAGAUGUUUCUUGUAUUUGGCCUGUUCUCUUGUGAUAGUUUUAUGUAAACGGUAACGAUGCGGCCUAAUUGACAAAUCUGCUCUCCACAAGCAAACGCGAACUAGGCAAAAUGCAGAAGCACUCAGUGGCAACAUCAAUAUACACACGCACACACAGAAAAAGCCGUGCGCCAGGCAGCACCCAGCCCAUGCAAUAUAUAUACCAGCCAACACUUAGCGCGCACAUAGAGCCACAGCUGUGCCCCACAAACUCUUUCCUGCCCUUCCAGAUAAGGAUGAUGAGCAACUAUUUAAGAAAUUACGAGCUGAUUCCCAAAAAGCGGGCGGGAAUUUUAUUUGCAACAAUUUGAGGCAAGCUGAAAUGCAUGCGGGUGCGUUAAAAGUUGCCAAACGUCGAUUUGUGCUGGCUCCGAAAACUUUGACAACGCGACAGCCUGUGUAAAUAUACAAUAGCGCACAUCAAGAUGGAUAGACGGAUCUCUGAUACUGUGAAAGAACGAAUAGAGUACGAAGUCAGUGAGAGAG